CCCAAAUAAAGCAUUUACUAGUCYUAGUAUAGGCGAUAGAAAAGACAMMAUUGGAGCGAUAGAGAMUACGUACCGUAAGGGAAAGAUGAAAUAGCAGUGAAAAAAUAAGCUAAAAAUAGCAAAGAUCAACCCUUGUACCUUUUGCAUCAUGGUCUAGCAAGAAAAACCAAGCAAAAUGAAUUGAAGUUUGCCAUCCCGAAACCCAAGCGAGCUACUUACGAGCAGCUAUCAUUGAGCGAACCCGUCUCUGUUGCAAAAGAGUGGGAUGACUUGUUAGUAGAGGUGAAAAGCCAACCGAGCUGGGUGAUAGCUGGUUGCCUGUGAAACGAAUCUAAGUUCACUCUUAAUUCUUCUCCAAGGAACACCAGAACCCUAAUGAAGCGAAUUAAGGGCUACUUAAAGGAGGUACAGCUCCUUUAAAAAAGAAUACAAUCUCUACGAGCGGAUAAAUAAUUAAGAUACAAAAUUACUGUGGGCCCUCAAGCAGCCAUCAACAAAGAGUGCGUUAAAGCUCUGUGCUCUAAAAAUACAAGAACUAUAUGACUCCCUCCCCAUUAACAGGCUAACCUAUAACAAUAGGAGAAUUAAUGCUAGAAUGAGUAACCAGGGUUCUCCCUCUUCGACGCAAGCUUACAUCCGUACAUUAUUAACAAGCCACCAUAUACGA
rnacentral:rRNA from 1 species